GACGGAGGAUGCAAGUGUUAUCCGGAAUCACUGGGCGUAAAGCGUCUGUAGGUGGUUUAAAAAGUCCACUGUUAAAAAUUGAAGCUUAACUUCAAAGAUGCCGUGGAAACUUUUAAACUUGAGGAUGAUAGGGGUAGAGGGAAUCUCCAGUGGAGCGGUGAAAUGCGUAGAUAUUGGAAAGACCACCAAUGGCGAAGGCACUCUACUGGGCCAUUACUGACACUGAGAGACGAAAGCUAGGGGAGCGAAUGGG
rnacentral:rRNA from 1 species